rnacentral:rRNA from 1 species
GAUUAGAAGCAAACAGAUGGACCUGAUGAAAAGUCGGUGGAAUUCAACUCGUUGUUCUACCUCGGCCCGGUGCUGGACUGAACUGUCAGUUUCUGGAUGUCGGUGUGGUCAUUGAGUGCAUUUUCUGUCGAUGUGCACCAGAGCCUGUGUUGGUGCUGGAUUUAUGGUUGUGGUUGCCGGCCAACAUUGUUGGUGUCCCGCCACUUCCUGAAACCGAGUCACUGGCACUGGUUGCCUGCAGACACCCGCCUUUACUCGCUAACAUCGUAAGCUCUGGCAUCUGAACUGUGGUGUCCUCGAGACGACUCCGCGAUGCCUGCCUCUGUGAGUGACGUUAGUGAGAUGGAGUCUCUCUCUGGCGGUUUAGUCGGUCACCCAUCUGACCCGUCUUGAAACACGGACCAAGGAGUCUAACAUGUGCGCGAGUCACUGGGUUGCAACACCCAAAGGCGAAAUGAAAGUGAAGACUAGUUCGGCUGGCUGACAUGCGAGCCUUUGCUUUGGUGGCAGAGGAGCACCAUGGUCCCAUCCAUACUGCAUUGUCAGUUGGGUGG